UCUCCAGUUUGAUGUCACCUGAAAGCGAACGCGCAGCCACCUCCAAGUCACUACUCGUCCCGAAUCUCUCGGCUCUUCCAUGGAUCUAAAUAGACAUAUAUACAUUCAAACCAACACAACACCUCGAUCAGAUUGAGGAAAUCGUUGAGAAAUCUGUGAGAUCAUUCCUUACCAUCUCCUCCUCUGUGGUCAUGGCUGAGAACCGAUCCGGGGAAUCGCCUCCACCACCGCGGCGGACGUGUUGCUUCGGAUGUUACGGCGCUCGAGAAUCCACCAGGAAGGGAAAGAGCAACGAGGUCCACGGUGCAGCAAGUCUCGAUGAAGCAAGGUGGGGGAGCAACCAGGGAAUUCUUACCGAUUUCAGUACCUUUUCCGUGGAAGAACAGCGGCAACGCCUGAAGCGGGCACUGGAGGAGGAGGAGAGGGCGAGCAAGGAGGCCGAGAAGAUGGUCCGGUGGGUAAAACAAGCAUCAGCCAGGAUAGAUACAUCUACUGUCAACGACUGAGAUCAGAAUCAUCAUCAGCUAAACCAGCAGGAGGUAAGAGCGCCUGUUACUCUCUGAUGUAAUCUACGAAUUAAGUUCAGACCAAAACUUCUCUGCCUUCCGUUCAGAGAUCAAGAAAUCUGGAUAACCAAAGAGCCAAGGGUUCAAGUCA